GCUCAGAACAGGGAGGUCGAGGCCACUUUGAAAGUCAACCAGAAGGUCGUACUGCACUUAAAGGGUCUGCACCGUGACCGAUCUCAGCGUGGGGAGAUGUGGCACAGCCUGGCGCUGGACGCAGCGCACGCCUCCCAGGUACUGGUCCCCGGGUUGGGCGAACACUGGUUUGCAGCCUCUGAGUGGACCUCAGGUGUUGGAGAGAGGGAGUGAGUGGUGCUGUUUCUUUCCAGCUGAGGCUCCCCCGGGCCCUGCAUUUGGAUGGGGACAUCCUCUUCAGACGGGGUCCCCGGGGAGCAUUUGACGGCAGCCUGGACACAAGGGCCACCAUCAACCACAACGUCACAUCCCAGGUCUCGGUCCAGAUGAACGGAUCUGACUCCCACUUGGCAUUCCUCUUCCAGCUCAGACAUCCCCACAGACCAACAUUUCCUCCAGACUUACAGGUGCAGGGAGCUGCCCGACGAUACAGAGACCACGGCCUCAGUGGCUCCCUGGCUGUACACACGUCCAGCCAGGAGCUGCUUCUGCUGGAGGCCGACACCAGCCAGGACGCCCGGAGACGCAGCCGGGGCUGGGACACGACAGUCCUCCUCCACCAGGCAGUCUUCAGCGCCCCCCGAGCUGUUCACUUGCAGCUGUCCAGCAAGGUGGCCCCAGCCAGGGUUUGGCUGUUGUAUAAAGUGCUGGUGGACCAGAGCACAGCUCAGCUGUUCUUCAAGGCCUCCGCAGAGCAGAGGGGAGGCCAGCUCCUGACCCUGCAGAGCCACGCCCAGCACACAGUGGCUGGUUGGACAGCUGUGCCCCGCCUCCUGACCGUCAAGGGCAUGCUAAAGCACAAGCAGACGCUCAGAGAGGGUACCGUCAGGGUCACUGCUGACUCAGCCGUGCUGGGCUUCCUCCUGCGGGACAAGCAUGAGACGGCAGGGAACAGCACCAGCAUACACACCGUGACGGGCAUCCUCACCCAGAACAGCAGCCAGGUCUUGCCAAGAGAGCUCUGGCUGAGAGGGCGUCUGCAGGCCCAGACGGGGAGCCUUGGGGGCCAGGCCCGCUUCCGAGCCGAUGAGGCCAGCCUGGCUCUGGGUGGGGUCUGCGCCUGGGGCCCCGGGCACGGCCAGCUCUCGGGGAGCCUGAGUCACAACAUCAGCACCUUGAGUGAGGCAGGACUCCCCUCGGAGGCAGAGAUGCUCCUGUCACACACCCAUGGGGCUUCCAACCUGUCAGCAAGCCUGGCACUGCGGAGUGCAUGGGGUCAGCUGGAUGCUGCCCUCGGCCUGGAUGGCCCAACCCCUGGAGCCCCAGGCAGCCGGCUCCACACCAGCUUGGCCCACUCGGUGCCUGGCCUCAGGCGCUGGGGCCUCCCCUUCUCCAUGGACGGCCAAGGCCACUUCCAGGUGGGUUGGGGUCUGGGGGCUGGGGGCUGGGUGCCGGCCGGGGUUGGGGAGGUAGCGGGUCCCAGGGACACCCACAGCUUUGCUUCUGCCCAGAGCAUGGGACCCCGCGUGGUGGCUGGGCUGAUGGCGAGCGUGGACGGUGAGCAGCUCCAUGUGGUCCUGGAGACCAGGCGACAGCGUGGCCACCACAGGCUAGCCCUGGGGCUGCACCAGGGCCUCUCUGUGCUGCUGGGCACCGUGCCCGCGCGGCUUUGGGUGAGUGACCCGCCCCGAGUGGGCACACCAGAACUGUCUCCUGUCUCUACAACUUCGGAGGUCACCUUACCCACCAGCUCCUGCCACCACCCGAGACCCUCCCGGGGUCCUGCCCAUCCCUGUCCAGCCGCUCCC
rnacentral:lncRNA from 1 species